AGAACAGAGCAGAAACAGAACAUAUAUUCUCUGUCUUUUUUUGUGGCAAAAGUAAAUGGCGAGAAGACAACUCUUUUACCAUCGAAUGUUCUUGGUUUUAGCUCUUCUCU